UGGGGAAUAUUGGACAAUGGGGGGAACCCUGAUCCAGCCAUGCCGCGUGUGUGAAGAAGGCCUUAUGGUUGUAAAGCACUUUAAGCGAGGAGGAGGGUACUGGUAUUAAUACUACCAGCUACUGGACGUUACUCGCAGAAUAAGCACCGGCUAACUCUGUGCCAGCAGCCGCGGUAAUACAGAGGGUGCGAGCGUUAAUCGGAUUUACUGGGCGUAAAGCGUGCGUAGGCGGCUAAUUGAGUCGGAUGUGAAAUCCCCGAGCUUAACAUGGGAAGUGCAUCCAAAACUGGCGGGCUAGAGUAGGGCAGAGGGUGGUGGAAUUUCCUGUGUAGCGGUGAAAUGCGUAGAUAUAGGAAGGAACACCAGUGGCGAAGGCGACCACCUGGGCUCAUACUGACACUGAGGUGCGAAAGCGUGGGGAGCAAACAGG
rnacentral:rRNA from 1 species